AGAAAUAUGGUCUGAUUUAUUUACCUCAGUAAAUGUGAUAGUCCCCCACUAUAUAUAUGUCACCUUCUACUCCUUUCUUCAUUUUCCUCACUUUUCACUGUUUGGUAAAGGUAAAAUCCUCUCUCUUUUCUUAUCUUUUUCACUUUUUUUUGUUUUUUUUGGACGGUGGUGCUUGUUGGUUGUGUGGGAAAUCGACGAGGACAAAGGCUUGGUUCGGUUGUCUUGAUUCGGCGGAGGAGAUCAGUUCGGCAGGGCGGCCUGGCUCGGCGGAGCUGCUUGGUUUCGUGAGCUAGUUCGGCGGAAAA
rnacentral:lncRNA from 1 species